UAAUAGCGUAUAUUAAAGUUGUUGCAGUUAAAAAGCUCGUAGUCGGAUGUCGGGCUCGGGCAAGCUGUCGGCCUUUGGUCGGACGGCAGGCUCGGGUCUUUCUGCCUGAGGAACCCGGUUGCUUUAACGAGCUGCCGGUGGACGCAGGUCGUUUACUUUGAAAAAUUAGAGUGUUUAAAGCAGGCAUUUGCUAUGAAUACAUUAGCAUGGAAUAAUAAUCUAGGACUUCGGUUCUAUUUUGUUUGGUUUCUAGAUCUGGAGUAAUGAUUGAUAGGGAUAGUUGGGGGUGGCUAGUAUUAAGGGGGCCGAGAGGUGAAAUUCUUGGAUUCUCUUAAGACUAACUUAUGCGAAAGCAUUCACCAAGGAUGUCUUCUUUAAUUCAAGAACGAAAGUUGGGGGAUCGAAGACGAUUAGAUACCAU
rnacentral:rRNA from 1 species